rnacentral:misc_RNA from 1 species
CCUGGUUAUUCAUAACCUUUUGUUGUCCGACUCUGUUGCCUCCGGGGCGACCCUGCCUUCGGGCGGGGGCUCCGGGUGGACACUUCAAACUCUUGCGUAACUUUGCAGUCUGAGUAAACUUAAUUAAUAAAUUAAAACUUUUAACAACGGAUCUCUUGGUUCUGGCAUCGAUAAGAACGCAGCAAAAAAAAAAAAAGCCGGGGAAUGGAAGGAA